CACACACACCGAAACCCCCUGUCGCCGGCCACGCAUGACUCUACUUGCAUCAAUUGUUGUCGACGACCUCUCUACUUACUAUCUCUUUGCAUCAACAACAAGGUUCCAAAUGCAAUUUGAGACAACUCUUACUGGCAAGUUAUAAGAAGCCAAACCUUUAUACAUAAUGUCUGGAGAAAAAUUGUUCAAUAAAUAGCGGGUUUAUUUGAACAGAGCCACAGACGAGUAUAUGAAAGGAGCAUGGGAGUUCGUAGAGAAAGUAAAGAAGGAUGCAACAUAUGUGGAUUUGAUUAUGUGCCCUUGCAAGGAUUGUAGAAACAUGAAUCAUCAAUCCUUUGAAUUACUUAUGAGCAUUUAGUAAUUAAGGGAAUGGACCCAACAUAUAUUUGGUACCAUUAUGGGAGGAAGUUUGUGUAAGGGAAGAAAUUGAGGAUGUAGAUAUGUUUGAUGUAUUUAACAUGUAUCAAUCUACAUAUAAAAGAGAAUAAGUAAAUGUUGAGCCUACUUUUUCAAGUACUGAUAGUGAACUUCAUCAAAAAAAUGAAAAAUGCAAAAGCUUCCUUAUAUCCCAGUUGUACAAAAUUCACAAAGAUGUCAGCUACGGUGGCCUUGUAUAAACAUAAAGCUUUGAGUGGUUGGUCUGAUAAAAGUUGUAGUGACUUAUUGGAAUUAUUGCAUGAUAUACUAUCUUCAACAAUGUUAUCCCGCAAUCUCUUUAUGAUGUUAACAUGGGAUAUCAAACGAUUCAUGCAUGUGUAAAUGAUUUUGGUUUAUUUCAAAAGGAAAAUGAGAACUUAGAAAUAUGUCUGCAUUGUGGUUUCCCUAGAUGGUUGAUGGAUGCUCAUACUAAACAAACUAGACAAGGUACGGAGAGCA